UCGUCGCAGCUGUGUGUGUGACAGUAAGUAACGACAUGGUGCAUGGGAAAUAGCCAAUAUGUAAGAAGUUGGCACUGCAUGGGAGCCCCUCAGCACUUGCAGAGAUAUGGCCGGCACCCGGGGUCCACGUGCGCCCAGAUGGAGUCCAGGGAAGGCUUUGCAGACAGUGUCUAUGGCAUCCUCAUCUAACGAGGCGUACAGAAGGCUCUAAGCAUGUUGCAUCAUUAUGUAAAGCAGUCCACCCUAUCUGAAUGUAUAAUCCUGCCUGCCAACUCUGCGUCAGGCUCAGAGGCCGUGCAAAAUCGCAGCUCUGCCCAGCGCUGUGCUCUGGGACGCUAAGCUCAGAGGGGUGGCACUUGCUUGAGGUCACACUCUGGGGAGGGCCGGAGCCCAGGCUUGGA